GGAUUUGGAAAAUUCCGCUAAAGAGGGUGAAAGCCCCGUAGACGAAAUGCUGACAACACCUAGGAGGAUCCUGAGUACGGCGGAACACGAGAAAUUCCGUCGGAAUCCGCGGGGACCAUCCCGCAAGGCUAAAUACUCCCUAGUGACCGAUAGUGAACCAGUACCGUGAGGGAAAGGUGAAAAGCACCCCGGAAGGGGAGUGAAAUAGAUCCUGAAACCGUGUGCCUACAACAAGUCAAAGCUCGUUAAUGAGUGAUGGCGUGCCUUUUGUAGAAUGAACCGGCGAGUUACGAUUGCAUGCGAGGUUAAGUCGAAGAGACGGAGCCGCAGCGAAAGCGAGUCUGAAUAGGGCGAAUGAGUAUGUAGUCGUAGACCCGAAACCAUGUGAUCUACCCAUGUCCAGGUUGAAGGUGCGGUAAAACGCACUGGAGGACCGAACCCACGUACGUUGAAAAGUGCGGGGAUGAGGUGUGGGUAGCGGAGAAAUUCCAAACGAACUUGGAGAUAGCUGGUUCUCUCCGAAAUAGCUUUAGGGCUAGCCUCGGAAUUGAGAAUGAUGGAGGUAGAGCACUGUUUGGACUAGGGGCCCAUCUCGGGUUACCGAAUUCAGAUAAACUCCGAAUGCCAUUCAUUUAUAUCCGGGAGUCAGACUGCGAGUGAUAAGAUCCGUAGUCGAAAGGGAAACAGCCCAGACCACCAGCUAAGGUCCCAAAAUAUAUGUUAAGUGGAAAAGGAUGUGGGGUUGCACAGACAACUAGGAUGUUGGCUUAGAAGCAGCCACCAUUUAAAGAGUGCGUAAUAGCUCACUAGUCGAGUGACCCUGCGCCGAAAAUGUACCGGGGCUAAACAUAUUACCGAAGCUGUGGACUACACCAUUAGGUGUAGUGGUAGGAGAGCGUUCUAAGGGCGUUGAAGGUCGAUCGUGAGGACGGCUGGAGCGCUUAGAAGUGAGAAUGCCGGUAUGAGUAGCGAAAGACAGGUGAGAAUCCUGUCCACCGUAUGACUAAGGUUUCCUGGGGAAGGCUCGUCCGCCCAGGGUUAGUCGGGACCUAAGCCGAGGCCGAUAGGCGUAGGCGAUGGACAACAGGUUGAUAUUCCUGUACCAGUUGUUUUUGUUUGAGCAAUGGAGGGACGCAGUAGGCUAAGGAAUGCAUGCGAUUGGAAGUGCAUGUCCAAGCAAUGAGUCUUGAGUAGAGUUAAAUGCUUUACUCUUUAAGGACAAGUUGUGACGGGGAGCGAAAUAAUAGUAGCGAAGUUCCUGAUGUCACACUGCCAAGAAAAGCUUCUAGUGAGAAAACAACUGCCCGUACCGUAAACCGACACAGGUAGUCGAGGAGAGUAUCCUAAGGUGAGCGAGCGAACUCUCGUUAAGGAACUCGGCAAAAUGACCCCGUAACUUCGGGAGAAGGGGUGCUGACUUCGGUCAGCCGCAGUGAAUAGGCCCAAGCGACUGUUUAUCAAAAACACAGGUCUCUGCAAAAUCGUAAGAUGAAGUAUAGGGGCUGACGCCUGCCCGGUGCUGGAAGGUUAAGAGGAUGGGUUAGCUUCGGCGAAGCUCAGAAUUGAAGCCCCAGUAAACGGCGGCCGUAACUAUAACGGUCCUAAGGUAGCGAAAUUCCUUGUCGGGUAAGUUCCGACCCGCACGAAAGGCGUAACGAUUUGGGCACUGUCUCAACGAGAGACUCGGUGAAAUUUUAGUACCUGUGAAGAUGCAGGUUACCCGCGACAGGACGGAAAGACCCCAUGGAGCUUUACUGUAGUUUGAUAUUGAGUGUUUGUACCACAUGUACAGGAUAGGUAGGAGCCGAUGAGACCGGA
rnacentral:rRNA from 1 species